CUUUAAUUCUGUGCAGGAYGACCCUGAAGAUAGAGUUCCCUACGCCUCCAUCAGCUACACCAGRACGUCCAACAACAACAGCAAGGUUAAAAUGGAGGAAGACAAUGAAACUGUGACUUACAGCACUGUGAAAGCUCCGCCCACUGAUCCCAGCAGCCUCUACGCUUCAAUCACCAAGUAACCAAACCAACCACACUCUGCUGGUCACAUAUGAGGACAGGUCUUGUGAAAUCAAUGUGUUACAAUUAUGUUGCAUUGUGGGAAAGUGCAUUUGCAAUGCCUUAAAGUUUGAGAACAAAGUAAYUGGGCUCGUAUUUUGUAUUUGAAGACGUUUCACUUCCCAWCAGGSWGRUUUUUUUCAUUUUAAAACUGUAGAAUGUKGAGUUGUAAGCUUUAAACUGCGUCAUAUGCAGCUUAAAUCACCCGCAGAUUAAUCUCUCUCCCUCCCUCCUGAGGGUGGUUAGGGGGUUUUGUUUGCCCCAGAGGAGCGGGUCUCAGAUUUCAGAUUUGUAAUGGGGCAUUAAGCCCGAYACCCUCAUUUUCUCUAAUCAUUCAUGUGACCAAAGCAUGUCUCCUGUGAGCCAGGCAAACAAAGACCCUAAUGACCCUCAGGAGGGCGGGCCCAACAAUCCUCACUGCACUGACCGACGUGUUCAUGCAAAAACAUAAAAAAAAGAUGAAUUCAUCUUGAGGAAGUGGCUUUGGGUUCUGUCUUUCUAACGCCUACAGAAAACCCACGACUCGUCUAGUUUCCGAACCAACCACACACCUCAAAUGUGACCAAAACAGCUCACAUGUUGGUCUCAUCAAGAGGUGUGAAUGCUUUGAAUGACUCACAGGAUGGAGCAGUGGGUUGUGUGCCUUUGAUGACCCUGUUAUUGGGAUUGUCAGGAUGACGACACAUAAACCUCUCAACCCACGAUCCAAACUAAAAACCUCUUUYAGAYGAAGUGAAACAUSUUCAAGGAUAAUAAAAAAAUCCAGYUGCUUUCAUCAGAACUCUGUAUUUGUUCUGUAAUGUAUCCAAACUGAGCUUGUUUUUAUCAGUAUUAGUGCCUGAUGUCUAAUUUAAUCACUUUUAUGUCAGUAUGCAGAGAAGCUAAAGGGACAGAUGUUAUCAGAGUAUUUUCAGACUAAGCUGUGAAAUGAGGAAAUGUAAAAUGUUGCAAUGAAACUUCUCUUUAAGAGGAAGUUUCUUAGUUGGAGGAAAUGCAGAAAAGAAAAAAGAAGUUCUGGCACGCAGUAAGUGUCAACUCACUGGUGUCAAAGUCAGUUAUUUUAACCCAUUUAAAUAAGACAAAUGUAUUUUUAAGAGAAUGGCAUUUAAAGAAAUAAUUUUAAUAUAAAUGAAUGUUACUUUUGACUAAUAUUUUACAUGAGGCUAAGAACCGCUAUGUUCUCUAAAAACUAUUUAACUUAUUUUUAUGUGUUUGUCAGAAACUUCCAGAUAGUUAAGCUCAUUCAGUUUUGUUGCUGUGACGUCACCUGCUGGGAGAAAAAUCAUUAAACUGUUAAAGUGGGAGAGCUGCAGUUGUGUCAAGUAAAUGGUUUCAUGUGAAAUAAAGAAAUUCAGUUUGGAA